UUAGUUCGGGGCUAAUCCCAACCCACCCUGUCAACAUUCAUUGUGGGAGGGUUUCCUCCCACAAUGAAUGUUGACAGGGUGGGUUGGGAUUAGCCCCAAACUAA